rnacentral:rRNA from 1 species
AUGGCUCAUUAAAUCAGUUAUCGUAUAUUUGAUAGUACCUACUACAUGGAUAACCGUGGUAAUUCUAGAGCUAAUACAUGCUUAAAAUCCCGACUUCGGAAGGGAUGUAUUUAUUAGAUUAAAAACCAAUGCCCUUCGGGGCUCACUGGUGAUUCAUAAUAACUUCUCGAAUCGCAUGGCCUUGUGCCGGCGAUGGUUCAUUCAAAUUUCUGCCCUAUCAACUUUCGACGGCUGGGUAUUGGCCAGCCGUGGUUACAACGGGUAACGGAGGGUUAGGGCUUGACCCCGGAGAAGGAGCCUGAGAAACGGCUACUACAUCCAAGGAAGGCAGCAGGCGCGCAAAUUACCCAAUUCCGAUACGGAGAGGUAGUGACAAUAAAUACUGAUACAGGGCUCUUUUGGGUCUUGUAAUUGGAAUGAGUACAAUUUAAAUCCCUUAACGAGGAACAAUUGGAGGGCAAGUCUGGUGAACGUCUAGUUUCCAUGCUGGCGCCAGAAAUAGCGAGGCUCUCUUUUUGUGGUUACGGUGGGAAAUCGCUAGUCAACUAAUUUAAUAGUUGGCGAUAUACCUGGAUCGAGGGAGGCUAAGGCUGUAAAAAGCUAUGCCAAUCUCGCACGUAACUUCGGUACGUGUAGAGCACGGAAAGGUAUAGGCAGUCAGUAGACUGUUUAAGGUACGUGCCAAUCCACUGUGAAAACAGUUCCUUCUAUUUUCAAAGAUAGGGGGGCCCGGAUUCGUUCUGGGUGGAAAAAUGUUGAAUUUUAUUAUGGCCAGCAGCCGCGGUAAUUCCAGCUCCAAUAGCGUAUAUUAAAGUUGUUGCAGUUAAAAAGCUCGUAGUUGAACCUUGAGCCUGGUUGGUUGGUCUGCCUCACCGCAUGCACUGAUCCGACCGGGCCUUUCCCUCUGGGGAUCCGCAUGCUAUUCAUUUAGUGUGUCGGGGAACCAGGACUUUUACUGUGAAAAAAUUAGAGUGUUCAAAGCAGGCCUAUGCUCGAAUACAUUAGCAUGGAAUAAUAGAAUAGGACGUGUGGUUCUAUUUUGUUGGUUUCUAGGACCGCCGUAAUGAUUAAUAGGGACAGUCGGGGGCAUCAGUAUUCAAUCGUCAGAGGUGAAAUUCUUGGAUCGAUUGAAGACUAACUACUGCGAAAGCAUUUGCCAAGGAUGUUUUCAUUAAUCAGGAACGAAAGUUAGGGGAUCGAAAACGAUCAGAUACCGUUGUAGUCUUAACCAUAAACUAUGCCGACUAGGGAUCGGACGAUGUUAUUUUUUGACUCGUUCGGCACC